GGGUCAGUGGUGCAACUGAUAACGUGUCUGACUAUGCAUCAGAAGAAUCCAGGUUCGACUCCUGGCUGGUUUA
rnacentral:tRNA from 1 species